AUGUGCCGCCACGCAAGUCUUCUCCAUCCCUCCUUCCGGCGUGCACCACGAGAAGAGGCAGCAGGCCUCCGGAACCCCGCCUCUUGUGAUCCUGUACGGGAGAGGGGUGAUCAGGUUUAUGGGGAGCGCACCCGCUCGACUGCUGGCAGCGAGGACUUCGCCAAUGACGACUUCUUUCCCGACCUCGGCAACCUCCUCAUCAACUACAUGAGCGACAACAUCAACGCCGGCGCUCCCGCUGCACCGUAUGUGAUCUUGUCCUCCUUGUUCGAGAUCGUGCUAGAAUUCUUAGUUUUAGUCUAUGCUCUAGAUGUGAUAUGUUCAUCUACUAUGCUAGUUCGCAUGAUUAGUUUAAUCUCUGCUAUCACUGUCAUGGUUUAUUUUCUGUUUAUUCGGAUUAAAUCUCGUAGUAAUUUGCUCAUAUUUUCAACAAAUACUACAUCAAAAAUUCUGUAA
rnacentral:rRNA from 1 species